rnacentral:rRNA from 1 species
GAUCUAGCUUGCUAGAUGCUGACGAGUGGCGCACGGAUGAGUAACGCGUAUACAAUCUACCUUUAACUGAGGGAUAGCCCAGAGAAAUUUGGAUUAAUACCUCAUAGUAUUAUAGAGAGGCAUCUUUUUAUAAUUAAAACUCCGGUGGUUAAAGAUGAGUAUGCGUCCUAUUAGCUUGUUGGUAAGGUAAAAGCUUACCAAGGCUACGAUAGGUAGGGGGCCUGAAAGGGUGAUCCCCCACACUGGUACUGAGACACGGACCAGACUCCUACGGGAGGCAGCAGUGAGGAAUAUUGCACAAUGGAGGAAACUCUGAUGCAGCCAUGCCGCGUGCAGGAUGAAUGCCCUAUGGGUUGUAAACUGCUUUUAUACAAGAAGAAACCUCGGUACGUGUACCGACUUGACGGUAUUGUAUGAAUAAGCACCGGCUAACUCCGUGCCAGCAGCCGCGGUAAUACGGAGGGUGCAAGCGUUAUCCGGAUUUAUUAGGUUUAAAGGGUCCGCAGGCGGAAUAUUAAGUCAGUGGUGAAAGCCUACAGCUCAACUGUA